GAUGAACGCUAGCGGCAGGCCUAAUACAUGCAAGUCGAGGGGCAGCACGAUUUUCGGAUUGGUGGCGACCGGCGCACGGGUGCGUAACGCGUAUGCAAUUUGCCCUGUACUAGAGGAUAGCCCGGGGAAACUCGGAUUAAUACUCUAUGGUGUUAUAAAGAGGCAUCUCUUAAUAACUAAAGAUUACGGUACAGGAUGAGCAUGCGUCUGAUUAGCUUGUUGGUGAGGUAAUGGCUCACCAAGGCGAUGAUCAGUAGGGGUUCUGAGAGGAUGAUCCCCCACACUGGCACUGAGAUACGGGCCAGACUCCUACGGGAGGCAGCAGUAAGGAAUAUUGGUCAAUGGGCGAAAGCCUGAACCAGCCAUGCCGCGUGCAGGAUGACGGCCUUCUGGGUUGUAAACUGCUUUUAUAUGGGAAGAAAAAGGUCUUGCGAGACAAAUUGCCGGUACCAUAUGAAUAAGCACCGGCUAACUCCGUGCCAGCCGCCGCCGUAACAC
rnacentral:rRNA from 1 species